AGAGUUUGAUCCUGGCUCAGAGCGAACGUUUGCGGCGGGCUUAACACAUGCAAGUCGAACGAGAAUCCCUUCGGGGAGGAAAGUGGCGCACGGGUGCGUAACACGUGGAUGACCUACCCCUUGGUUCGGGACAACAGCGGGAAACUGCUGCUAAUACCGGAUGUGUCGUAGCAAUACGAGAAAGGCCCGCAAGGGUCGCCAGAGGACGGGUCCGCGUCCCAUCAGCUAGUUGGUGAGGUAAUGGCUCACCAAGGCGAAGACGGGUAGCUGGUCUGAGAGGAUGAUCAGCCACACUGGAACUGAGACACGGUCCAGACUCCUACGGGAGGCAGCAGUGGGGAAUAUUGCGCAAUGGGCGAAAGCCUGACGCAGCCACGCCGCGUGAGCGAUGAAGGUCUUCGGAUCGUAAAGCUCUGUGGGGGGAGAAGAAGAAAGUCGGUGAAGAGCCGGCCCUGACGGUAUCCCCUUAGCAAGCACCGGCUAACUCCGUG
rnacentral:rRNA from 1 species